rnacentral:antisense_RNA from 17 species
AUUUAUGGUGGGCUGUGUGGGGGAGUUGAGAGACUCGCCGGAUGUUUCGACCGGUUACGCCAACCCUGCACAGUUCACCACCCA